rnacentral:rRNA from 1 species
ACACCGGCCGCUCUAGUGGUAGCUGUUUUUAUUGGGCCUAAAGCGUUCGUAGCCGGUUUAAUAAGUCUUUGGUGAAAUCCUGUAGCUUAACUAUGGGAAUUGCUGAGGAUACUGUUAGGCUUGAGGUCGGGAGAGGUUAGCGGUACUCCCAGGGUAGGGGUGAAAUCCUGUAAUCCUGGGAGGACCACCUGUGGCGAAGGCGGCUAACUGGAACGAACCUGACGGUGAGGGACGAAAGCUAGGGGCGCGAACCGGAUUAGAUACCCGGGUAGUCCUAGCCGUAAACGAUGCGGACUGGGUGUUGGGAUGGCUUUGAGCUGUUCCGGUGCCGAAGGGAAGCUGUUAAGUCCGCCGCCUGGGAAGUACGGUCGCAAGACUGAA